rnacentral:ncRNA from 1 species
GUUUCGGGGCGGGGUGAAAUUCCCCACUGGCGGUGAUGGCAUCCGAAUGCCGAGCCCGCGUGCCGCACACAAAAGAGCGGCUGACUUGGUGAGAAUCCAAGGCCAACGGUUAGAGUCCGGACGAGAGAAA